UUCUUGAUCUUUUUAACAAAAAGUUUGUUUUGUGGGAUAUUAAGUAACUCGGUAAAUCCAAUUACUACUCUUUGUGUGUAUUUCUAGUAUUUCUGAUUCCUGAGCAACAUCAAAGAUGCUCCACAAAACUUAUCCCCAUUUCUCUACAAUGUUGGCAGAUGCUCCCUGCUCACUUAGUCUCUGCCAAGGAAACUUAAUUACACAAUAUGGGCUUAGGAACUCAGAUGAGGUGAAAGUCCUUCUAAUAGUGGAGAGCUGCUUCCAGCCUUUGCAAGAUCCUACAUUUUAUAUUCCUUUAAGGGUGUACAUUUUGAUGUUGAAGUCAGUUUUCAUAUAGAUUCAGGAUUCACAAACAGUAAUGUAAUAGUAUCAGAAGCAGGAAUAGUGGCCACAUGCAACCAUUCAACUUAGCCCUGGUAGUAUUAUUAAGACCUGAAUAACUUUUCUAGUAAAAUAGAAUGUGUUGAAAUGUUUACAUGGACUUUGAUCUCUGCAUCCCUUAUAACUUAUGUGUUUUAUUUCCCCGAGUGCAAUGUUCCUGAAUGUUACAUAUGCUUUUUUUCAGUACUUCAGGCCUUAGCCAUACAUGGGGCCAGAUGUUUUGCACUUUGGAAUGUUGCCUUUGCCUAAUGUGAGUUGACUUUCUGAAUUGUGGAGAGGCACUCUUCCAAGCCAGUCCUGUUUGUCCCUUUAUGUUGGAAUGGUUUGCUCUCUGACAGGAAAGAAAGAAUUAAAAGCUUGAUGUCCCCCAGCCCAAUCCUGCACCAUUUGCCCCAUUUUCAUGGUCUAUUCCAUGAAAUGUAUUUUAAAAGGUAAAAGCAUAUUUAAAAGCAUCUUCUAUCAUACAUUUACAAAAUAUGUGUGCAACCAAAACAAAAAGUAGGAGAAUCAGCUGAGGUAAAUUUGAUCUUCAAACGAGAGGGAAACAUGUGAAAGAAAAAAAUAGGAAGUGACAGAUUGUCCUAGCCAUCAACUGAGACCAAGGAGGUUGCUACUCCUUUUUGCUGUUUCUCUAAUUGAAUUGUCAGAGGUUUUACAAUCCAAGAGGGUUUCCUGUUGUGCCAGGAGAUUUUUCUAAGUUGAUUCUGUGAGCAUUGAACCCCACUGAAUCUCUUUUCUAGUGAGAAGUCUGCAAAUUAAAGGAAGGGGAAUGGUAGAAAAUACUUCCCUGUAUGCUUGGCUGAUUUUGAAGUGUGCCCUUGAAUAUCCCUAUUGGCAACUGAGAUCAUAGGAAGCAUAAUGGGUGUGAGAUCUAGCAAAGGAUUUUGAAUCUUCACUCCCUACCAGACUUUUCCUAUUUUUAAAGCUCUUCACCCUAGAACCAGCCGUAUGGAAAGCUUUUAAGGCAAACUCCAAAGCACAUUGUAUCAUUUCUACCUUGUGGUACACAUGGAAGAUAUCCAGAAAUGGAUGCUUCUGGAACCUAUUGGACAUCUUUUUUAUUGUUGUCCAUUUUUUUUUUAAGUGGAUGUUGCUGCUGGAAACAUUCACACACUUAAAAAAGAGUGUUCUCAGGCAUUAAAAGGUGGACUAAGAAGUGUGUUAUGGGCAAUGACUUGAAAUUACUUUUAAAUUGUAGGAAUUGUUAUGAGUUUAAUAAUUUUUUGGUUGGGUUGGGUUUUUUUAUUUUUUAUUAUUAUUUGUAAGACUUAUGGGAGAUGUUUGCAAUUUCAGAUCUAGUAGCUACUUUAGGUACAACUUUGGACCUCAGACUUUAUAAUGUUCCUGAAGACAUCAAAGAAAUACACAAAAAGAUUGAAGAUGUAUCCAAAGACUGGAAAAGAAAGGACACUCUUAGAAAACCCUGACAUUGAUCAUUCUGACUCUUUCACACCCAACCUCAUCCCCUUCUACCUCCAAUAGUCUGGAGUGUGAGACACAGAGGGCUGAGGGGUUGGUUUGUGGAUCUAGUUCAAAUUUAGGGAAAUGCAAACGUAAAGCAGGCCAUUGAUGAAAUUAAACACAAAUUUGAAAAAGGCUUUCACAGUCCGUGGAGUUCAAGUGGCUUGGGUAACAGACGUCAUUCUUAGCUCACUUGUUAUAUGGAAAGUGAUUUGCCUGUCCCUUUCCUAUCCAGAAGCCUGUCAGAAAGCAUUCUUCAGUGAAAACCACUUUACCUUGUUGUUAAACUCCUGAUCACUGCUCUUAAGAAUAUAUAUAAAUAUAUAUGUAGUCAUGGGGACAGUUUUCCCCACAGUAUUUGUAUGAUUUGCUUAUUGUUAUUGUGCUGAGUGAUCUCCUUUGUGCUUCAGAAAAAAAUAAAUGAGAUUUUGUGUUUACGUUAUUUUUUGUUGUUGUGGGUUCUC
rnacentral:lncRNA from 1 species